rnacentral:snRNA from 1 species
UUAACGGGUAUACCGGAUGGUAAAUAAAAUAAAAACUUCUCUGUUCUAAUCAGUGUGAAAACUGGUUUCCGACGUUUUUCGUUGGUCUUUUUCACAUUCAUUUUUGGAACUUCCGAGAAUGCUAGCUUGCUAGGUUUUCUUGGAACGGUCUCCGGGGGCUUUCACUAUCUCCCCCGCGAGGCCAACCACCA